rnacentral:rRNA from 1 species
GACGAGCCUCACAAACGUUAUUCGGAAUUACUGGGCUUAAAGGGUGCGUAGGCGGCGCGGAAAGUUGGGUGUGAAAUCCCUCGGCUCAACCGAGGAACUGCGCCCAAAACUACCGUGCUCGAGGAAGAUAGAGGUGAGCGGAACUUACGGUGGAGCGGUGAAAUGCGUUGAUAUCGUAAGGAACACCCGUGGCGAAAGCGGCUCACUGGGUCUUCUCUGACGCUGAUGCACGAAGCUAGGGAGCAAACGGG